rnacentral:lncRNA from 1 species
UGUGUUUGCACAUACCUAAUUCUUCCAUUGGCCGCUGCCAUGAGUAUUUCAAGUUUCAAAGUAAGCUAUUUAAAUCUCAUAAAAUUAUGUAUUUGUUCAUGGUGUAGAAGAUAGUUCAGUGAUCUAAGUAAGCUUUUCCCGGAAUUAAGUGAUCAUCAGAGAAAAUUUUACUCCCAAAGCUGUAAACUUCAAAUUGCUAAUUUAGAAACAAUUCCUAGUUUCCCUCUUUUUAUUUUGGGUUUCCUCGAUACCGUCUAGACGCAGAUGUGCUCACUGCUCAAUCGUAUCUGGAAAUGGAGGUAGGAGGAGAAGAAGUAGGGCGGCGGAUCGGAGGCGGUUCAAGUUCCAGGGAGUCAGAUCUCAACAAGUCUUUCAAUCUUGCCAUUCGGUCUCUCCUCACCGGUUGCUCUGAUGAGGUUAGUCCCAUUUUCCUGAAGAACUUUUUUCUUUUUCUUCUUCCUGCAAUUCGUGUCAGCAAAUAGAAAAUUCCGAUCCUCUUUUCAACAAUCAACGAAAGCGGCACUUUGCGGGAAUUUCAGAAAGCGUUCUCGAAGUUAAGCUUAGUUUCUAGGAUGCAUAAGCAAUAAUCAUUAGGAAAACAGUUAAGCUGUGAUAGACAAAGGAUUAUAAAUAUGCAUGAUAAGACACCAGUUGGAAGAAUCACAUUGCAACUAGGUGGGCCUUACAUAAUUUCUAAUUUUUCUUUUAUUUUGCCAGGACAUGUUCCAGUCAUUGUGCUCUCAGCUGCAGGUAUGGCUGCUCCUCUCCUCUCUCAUGCUUCUUACUAAUAUCAAAUUGCAAUUUAUAGUGUUGGACCUUGGCUAGGAAGAGGGUCAAGCCCACCAGUCAUUGCCAAUAUGUAUUUCUCUGGCAUCAUGGAGGAACAAUCCUUGGACCCUUUGUUUUUUAAUAAGUAUGUGUCAUCCUUCUCUACCUAGUACUUAACUUAAAAGAAGACAAAUGCCCCUAAAAACAGUUGUUCAAUUUAAUUUCUCUCAAGUGUGAUCACUAGAUGUUAUCCUGUCAAAUGUUUUGGCCCAUGCUAUAUAAAAACAAAUCGUUACCAAAGUGAACAUGACACAAAUUAACACGGUGAUAGGGACGAAAGGUUGAUGAUCUAUGAUCUCCUUACUUUUUGUUCCCGUUACUCAAAAGAAUAGACGGCCUUUGAAUCCCACCACCAUCAAAAGCCCUUUGCAGUUAUUUCCUUCAUCGAAACAUAACAGCAUCAAGCCUCAAGUCACAUUGCUGCAAGUAAUAUAAGCUGCAUUCAAUAAACUAUCUGUCAUGCUUACAUAUUUUGUGAUAUAAUCUGUAAAAAAAUUUAGCUGUGUGGCUCAUACUAUAGUUGAAGCAGAGAGCUCAUUCCUUAAUAGCAUUCAGGAGUGGUAAAUGAGAUCUGAUUAUUUUAACCGAAGAAUCCCAGCCUUAACAUGAAUACACUUCCUGAUGUCUAUUUCCACUUGUUUCUCUUUAGCAUAGAGAGUUCAGUGUCUUUGUGGGCAACAGACGUGAAUUUGACUGAAGGUGUUGUUCAAAGGAUAAAAAUUAACAGAGCUAGUUUCAUAGAACUGGUGGCCAACAGUAGUAAAUUUCCAUAAUAACAUUGUAGUUCUUGCUUAGAGUUUUUUUGAAGCAGUUCUGAUCUCUGCAGAAGUAAUGUCACUGAUAUCGCUUCCAGUUUGUCAAAUGUGAAAGAGGAGGAAAUCAAAUACUUGAUGGGCGUUCUAGAAAAGGUUGGUCUUUUAUUACAUCAGAGCCUUGUUACUUGUUAUUAGCCCCGCAGAUUUCAGGUCUCGUAUAGACGAUACUGUAAAUGAUGAUGACAUAAUUCUUAUGAAUUGGUUACUAAUAGAACCGUAUCUGUGAUCUGGCUGAAGAACAAAACCGCAUCACACGAGAUCGUAUUGAACUGCUAAAGACAGCAAAAAAUUAUGGUUCAAGGACACAGAUAUUUCAAGGUAUGCUACGCUUCUUCUGUAACCUCUUUGUUUCAGUAAAAUAUAAAAAACUCGAAAUAUAUUAGUUAUAAGUUUUAUCCCAUGCCAUGGUUAUGCUGUAAUAGUAGUCAAGAGUAUAUUUCGGGCAAUUUCACUCUCUAAGACAAUGUUUGACAUAGUUUCAAAUGCUGCUAUCAUACCUUAGAGUUGAUAUUAGAAAUGUCAGGAAAGAACUUGAGCAAACUGGAAGAGAAAACAGUUGGUUUUAGUCAUUAAGCAUACAUUUAGCAUCAUGUGUUUCUGGAAAUACAAGAUGAUAGUAAGUUUAUCUAUUUGGCAAAAAGCUAUUCUCUGGUAGACUAUAGAGAAACUCGUCUCUUAAGUUAUAAGUUAUCGAUUUUGAAAAAUCCAUCCAUAAAAUGAAAAUACCAGCCUCCACGUAUUUGAUCACUUAAAUACCUGAUGUUUACUAAAAAAGUGGUAUUUCAUUCAUUAAAAUACGGUGUAUUUGAACAAAGACAUGUUGUUAUGAGUAUUCUUGGUUUAAAAGUCUUCCGUACCAGACACCCGAUAAUGAUAUUCUGUCAGCAAAAAGAUAGUCUUAUACUCGGAUAUGAUAUGUCUAGGGCACGUGUUGGCACACAGAGCUCGUUCCAGGUUUUAGAGUCACAGAAUUCUCACCAGUUAGCUGAUUGACAAUCAUUGUCAAAGGUCAAACAAAAUAAUGAUAUUUUGAUGGGGACAGAAAAUCCCACUAUGAAUCAUUUCUUCUUCAUAUGUUUGUAUGCCUUGUGCAAGAUAGACAGAGAAUUGACAUGGUUACAAGUGAGAUGGAUUAUCUGUUAGAAUUCUGUUAAACUUGUGUUCAUGUACCCUACGAAUAAAUACAAGCUUUUGGGUGGUACACUGCAUCUGCUCGUGGAUAGUAAACAUGAACCAACGAAGUGACUGGUAACAACUAAGAGUUCAAAAUUUUGGUUGCAGGUCCAUCUUGUUUGUGAAGAGUUGACAUCAAAAGAAUGAGUGACGGUUGUGAGUUGAUGAUAAGAUGAGGUUUGAUAUUUUGGAGGCUGUGGAAAAGUCGGGUCAACAAAGGAGGAAGCUGUCUGCAAUCUCUGGUUUAAGGUUUUUGUUUCCUUCUUCUUGUGCGGGGGUUUAGGGUUGUUGUUGAUAAGAUGUAGUUUCACUGUCGUUGAAACUUGGAGCCUGCCCUGAUGAUAUUUAUUGGUGCAAAAAUUUCCCCCCCUUGUGGGGGAUGACUGAAGAAAGAGAAACAAUAUGGGUAUUUUCUUUACAUCGACCACAGAUAUUGUAGACCAAUGGGUUUUGUCUUCCACAGAUAUCACCAAUAUAGUACCAAGUGAUUGACGAACUGAUACACAAAUUGAUUUAGCCGUGUGUUUUUGCAAGUGUUGGAACUUUACGGUCCAAGCAAAGUUGUUUGUCGAUAGAAUUGUGUGUUGUCGAUUAAGUUGUAUCAAACUCAAAUUAAGUUACACAUCAUGUACCAACACAUCAUGUACCAACACGACGACAUGUAAUAUUUGUUUAUUAUUUUUUCUUAUCUUGUACUUGUCUAAAGAUCUUGGCCAACAAAAGUGCAUGUACCACAAGACGAUAAGUCUAGACACAGUACUGCUAACUAAAAAUGACCAAAGUGACAGAUCAGCAC